rnacentral:rRNA from 1 species
GGCAACCUGAGUAGAGCGGCGCACGGGUGCGUAACACGUGGGUAAUCUGCCUCAAAGUUUGGGAUAACCUUCCGAAAGGUUGGCUAAUACCGGAUAAGCUCACGAGGUCUUCGGACCUUGUGGGAAAAGGUGGCCUCUAUUUAUAAGCCAUCACUUUGAGAUGAGCCCGCGGCCCAUCAGCUAGUUGGCGGGGUAACGGCCCACCAAGGCUACGACGGGUAGCUGGUCUGAGAGGACGAUCAGCCACACUGGAACUGAUACACGGUCCAGACUCCUACGGGAGGCAGCAGUGGGGAAUUUUGCACAAUGGGCGAAAGCCUGAUGCAGCAACGCCGCGUGUGUGAUGAAGGUCUUCGGAUCGUAAAGCACUUUCGACCGGRACGAACAACCUCUGGCUAACAGUCAGGGGCCUGACRGUACCGGGAGAAGAAGCACCGGCUAACUCUGUGCCAGCAGCCGCGGUAAUACAGAGGGUGCAAGCGUUGUUCKGAAUUAUUGGGCGUAAAGCGCGUGUAKGCGGCUUGUUAASUCGGGUGUGAAAGCCCUCAGCUCAA